UACGGGGGGGGCAAGCGUUGUUCGGAAUUACUGGGCGUAAAGGGCUCGUAGGCGGCCAGCUAAGUCAGACGUGAAAUCCCUCGGCUUAACCGGGGAAUUGCGUCUGAUACUGGAUGGCUUGAGUUUGGGAGAGGGAUGCGGAAUUCCAGGUGUAGCGGUGAAAUGCGUAGAUAUCUGGAGGAACACCGGUGGCGAAGGCGGCAUCCUGGACCAACACUGACGCUGAGGAGCGAAAGCCAGGGGAGCAAACGGG
rnacentral:rRNA from 1 species